rnacentral:rRNA from 1 species
GUUUGAUCCUGGCUCAGAAUCAACGCUGGCGGCGCGCCUAACACAUGCAAGUCGAACGAGAAAGCCGCAAGGUGAGUAAAGUGGCGUACGGGUGAGUAACACGUGGAUGAUCUACCCUCUAGUGGGGAAUACCGUUGGGAAACCGACGACAAUACCGCAUAAGCUCGAGAGAGGAAAGCAGCAAUGCGCUGGAGGAGGAGUCCGCGGUCGAUUAGUUAGUUGGCAGGGUAAAAGCCUACCAAGACUGUGAUCGAUAGCCGGCCUGAGAGGGCACACGGCCACACUGGCACUGAAACACGGGCCAGACUCCUACGGGAGGCAGCAGUGGGGAAUCUUGCACAAUGGAGGAAACUCUGAUGCAGCGACGCCGCGUGAGCGAUGAAGCCCUUCGGGGUGUAAA